rnacentral:rRNA from 1 species
AACGAACGCUGGCGGCAGGCUUAACACAUGCAAGUCGAGCGCCCCGCAAGGGGAGCGGCAGACGGGUGAGUAACGCGUGGGAAUCUACCCAUCACUACGGAACAACUCCGGGAAACUGGAGCUAAUACCGUAUACGUCCUUCGGGAGAAAGAUUUAUCGGUGAUGGAUGAGCCCGCGUUGGAUUAGCUAGUUGGUGGGGUAAUGGCCCACCAAGGCGACGAUCCAUAGCUGGUCUGAGAGGAUGAUCAGCCACACUGGGACUGAGACACGGCCCAGACUCCUACGGGAGGCAGCAGUGGGGAAUAUUGGACAAUGGGCGCAAGCCUGAUCCAGCCAUGCCGCGUGAGUGAUGAAGGCCCUAGGGUUGUAAAGCUCUUUCACCGGUGAGGAUAAUGACGGUAACCGGAGAAGAAGCCCCGGCUAACUUCGUGCCAGCCGCCGCAGUAAGAC